GGUAGUGUGGAUGAGUGGUCUAAGGCGUGGAAUUAAGACUCAUUAAAACGAUUAGAUUAAAACUCUCUUUGGAGGUGAGGGUUCGAAUCCCUCCGCUGCCA